UUGUUCUGGGCGGCAAAGUUAAAAUAAUCCACACAAAGCAAACUAAAGGAAGUUGAGCUUUUAAUAUGAUCCCUUUUAAUAUGAGCCUUCAUAUCACAUAAAAUAGCAUUUUACAUGUCCCAGAUUCUGACAGGGCUUCAGGAAACGUUUUAACUUGUGGAAUUGCAAGGAUUUGUUAUUGCUCCAGCAGCACAGCUACUUCACUGUAUUUAAAACAUUAUUUUGUCUUUGAGUUUGUUGUUAUGAGUGGCUCCCAGCUGUCCAGAGGGAGGCCCUCGAGCUCAAAAAUAACACCAGUGGACCAGGCACCCCCCCACACACACACAAACCGUGUGCUUCACAACAAGCCUGACAGACAACAAGCCUGAAAGACAGCAAGCCUGACAGACAGAGAGGCUAUGGGAGGCCUUGAAGAUGGACCUGGAAUGGAUGGACCUAGUGACACUGGCGAGGCCGAGUGCAGAAGCGACAUUCAAUCAUUUUGAGAUGGACACAAGCCUUUUGGUCUGCAUGGAGAGUUCAACUGAAGCAAAUCAGUAGCAGCU